rnacentral:tRNA from 1 species
GCCCAGAUGGCGGAACUGGUAGACGCGCGCGACUCAAAAUCGCGUGGCAGAAAUGCUGUGAGAGUUCGAGUCUCUCUCUGGGCACCA